GGGGUCGUAUAUGGAUUCGACAGGAAUAAAAGAAAUUUAGCUGCAAGUCGUAUAUCUUACGUUACAGAUAAAUUAAAUAUAGCUGGAAACAACUAUAACAAUGCUACUGGAUACGCUUUUGCGUAAUUUAGUUUAAUCAGUAGGUUCUAUCCCAUCUUUGCCUAUGAGAUAGGAAUAGGACAUAUAAAAUAGGCUAUAUUAUAUAUUUUUUCUUGGAUAUAUAAUGAAUAUUAAAGAAUAGUAAAUAAUUAUUCUUGUUAGUUCUUCUAAUUAUUUAUGAAUAUUUAGAAUUAACUAAACUUGUAGAAGCUAAAUGGAGUUUAUUUUUGGACGGGAGUUCGACUCUCCCCGGCUCCACCA
rnacentral:tmRNA from 1 species